rnacentral:rRNA from 1 species
ACACGACUACAUUAGAUACCCGUGUAGUCCUAGCCGUAAACGAUACUCGCUAGGUGUCGGCCACGGUGCGACCGUUGUCGGUGCCGUAGGGAAGCCGUGAAGCGAGCCACCUGGGAAGUACGGCCGCAAGGCUGAAAACUUAAAGGAAUUGGCGGGGGAGCACUACAACGGGUGGAGCCUGCGGUUUAAUUGGACUCAACGACCGGAAAACUCACCGGGGGCGACAGCAAUAUGUAGGUCAAGCUAAAGACUUUACCAGAAUCGCUG